AUGCACAUGAGCUUACCUUAUCGUGUCUCAUCACAGGGACAGAUGGCCAGCCUGCUACACUUACGAUUAUUUACUUUAGCAGUUACACCUCAGGAACACACCAGGCCACACGACCAUUAUUUUCUCCAGUGGGAUAAACUUGCUUGUGGUGAGGUCACCCAGAUAACUUGUUUAGAGGAGCCAAAACGGUUACAGCCAAUUGUCCAGCUCAGCAGAUUAUUUCCCCCUGGAGCAGAACACUGAGGCUCGCUUCCAUUUUCCUGUCUGUUGGAGUUCAAGAGGACGCAUCACUGGCUGAACAGAGGAGAACGUGACAUUUGAAGGAUGAGAGGCUCUUUUCAUACUGGCAACCGGAAACUUGCAAGCCUUUUUCAUUUCACUGAUGCACUUCAUAGGGGAAGAAGAAAGAAAAGAGUUGCAGAAAGAAAGAACAGUGCACAAAUGCACUAAACUAUAGUUCCUUUAGGGGUGCAUCCGCUUGUGGAACAUUGAAGCUUAUAGAAGUACCUAAAGGCUAUAGUUUGCUACAAUUUAAGGUCCUAAAAUGUACCUUUUAAGGUUUGAGAAGAUACAAAGUUGCCACAGUGGCACAUUGUUGUAUCCCUAAAGGUAUGUUUUGCAAAUUUUGUGUGAACAGUAUAAAAAGGAAGUUUGAAAGCGAGACAGAAAUGAAAAACUAAUCUAAAAUGGAGAUGGCUGAAGGGCAAGUAAGAUGCAUACUGGCUGCUUUUCCCUCAAACAAUCUCCCUUUAUCCUGUUUAUUAAUCAAUACUGCCACUGUUUCCACCCGGCAGCAGAGUUGUGUGUAGCAGACGGCUAAGACGGGGUUUUCAGGUGGCACGCCACACCAAAAACUUCCCAGCAUCCCUUCUGCUCAGCAAAUGAUGACGCAUCAUUCUGCUGACACAAGUCACCUGAUUGCUGUGUCACGGCAGUGGUUUUAGGCGAGUGGCAGCGCUCUGGCUACAGACGUAGAGUCUUUUUUUUCCUCCCAGACGCACUGCGGCACAGCCAGACGACUAGAGUGGAAGCACAGGAGCUCACAGCUGCAGUCGACUGGCUUGUUUCGGGGAGGCUUCCUUUCGAAAUACAGUCGCUGUGCUUCUCUCCGCCGUUAAAGGAUCAUUUUCAUCGGGGCAGAGCAAUCAAAGAGAGUAGAGCCAAGAAAGAAGACAAACUUUGAGUCAAGCAACUUGGAAUUACGCUCCGUCUCUGAAAUUUAGGAUAAGCAAGUCCAGAUUGUGAUUUUUGUCUUGUUUUGGACUGCUUAUGCCAGCAUCUUCAUCUCCAGACCAGGAUUCCAAGCUGCGAAGUCGGCGAUAAAGGAUUGCAGUGCGUCACCUGUCUGUCCCGUUAUAAACCUGUCCCAUUCGAGUCGUCCAGUCAGCCGGGCCCACUUGCAAUCCCACACACGGCGACCAGCCAAAGUGACCACUCUGCUCCAAGGUUAAGGUGGUUUUCAAUCCUAGACAUAGUCCUUGUCCAGAGGGCAGGGCAGAGUCAAACAGAAGCAGCGACGCAGCAGCUGAGCUGAGCUCAGCCAGACAGACGCGGUGACCUAAAUCAGCCCCAGUCAUGUCUGGACGCAGCCAAAGCCAGAGAGACGAAGAGGAAAACGAGCGAGAGAGGCAGAGCGCAACCCACACGUACUGACUUCAACAUAUACACGCACUAUGGGAUGGAGAGAAAUGGAGGAGGCUGUAAGGGGAGGGGGAGACAGAGUUGUCUCUCUCUCCCUCUCUCGCUCUUUUCUCCACCGCUUUAUUUCGUUCAUGUUCACAGCGCUGAUCUUCACCGUUGCUGCAGAGCGAAACGUAGAGUCGUGUCCCACUCAACCUCCCCCGUUUGCACUUUUGGGUACAGUAAACGGUGGGAUAAAAGACGGGCUGAAGUGAGUUGGUCAGACGGGCCUUGCCAAACCCACAGGCUGUUUCUGCCGCUCUGCUACCGCUGCGCUGUUUUUGAUGUGAGCCACAGUGCAGAUGCAGUGUUUUUUGGGCGAUCACCAAUAAGCUACCGUACUGGAGGAGAUGCUGGUAAAGUACGGGAGACCUUUCAAGAAAGCGAAUGCUGCUCCGGUGUGUCAUAGUCUAAGAGGGAUGCUUGGAGGAUGAAGGAAAAUCCAGUUUUUCUGUCAAUGGAAAAAAAGCGAAUGCUGGUCUGGUGUGCCAAUAUUCGUGAGGGAUGUUUGGAGGUUGAAUGGGAAACCCAGUUUUUCUGUCAUUGGAGAGUAUGUGAAUGCCUAAAUGUAAACAUUUAUGUUGUUGGGGAACUUUCUGGAAACUUUUGUAAUUUGUUGCUCCCCAAAGUGUGGGAUGUUAUUUAAAGACUCGAUAUACUUCAAACAAAAUCAAAGAAUGAAUUGAAAUGACGUCAUUUUGAAUAAAAUCUGUGUGAAUAGCCAA